rnacentral:rRNA from 1 species
GACGAACGCUGGCGGCGUGCUUAACACAUGCAAGUCGAACGGAAAGGCCCUGCUUUUGUGGGGUUCUCGAGUGGCGAACGGGUGAGUAACACGUGAGUAACCUGCCCUUGACUUUGGGAUAACUUCAGGAAACUGGGGCUACUACCGGAUAGGAUCUCCUGCUGCAUGGUGGGGGUUGGAAAGUUUCGGCGGUUGGGGAUGGACUCGCGGCUUAUCAGCUUGUUGGUGGGGUAGUGGCUUACCAAGGCUUUGACGGGUAGCCGGCCUGAGAGGGUGAACGGCCACAUGGGGACUGAGAGACGGAGCAGACUGCUACGGGAGGCAGCAGUGGGGAAUAUUGCACAAUGGGAGGAAGCCUGAUGCAGCAACGCCGCGUGCGGGAUGACGGCCUUCGGGGUGUAAACAGCUUUAGCCUGUGACGAAGCGUGAGUGACGGUAAUGGGUAAAGAAGCACCGGCUAACUACGUG